ensembl:lncRNA
AUGAGCACCGUCUCUACGCUUUCUGCAUUCUGUUCAUUCACAAGGAGCCCUUGGACCAUACCGGCCACAGGGAAGUACUGCAAGGGAAGAAACCUGCUUUCCAUUCGUGUGUCAGUCCCCUCUCCACUCAGUUGGCCUCUUAUCCACUUUGUUGAUUCACUUAUUGGCUCAUCUCCCUGUCCCCAUNUGUCUUUGUCAGUUCUUUUCUGCACACACCCCUUUCAUCCCUUAAUACCCCACCGCUUAUCCGCUGCUCACUCCUUACCUAGCCUCUUAUUUAUUGCCCUUCUCCCCACCCAUUGGUCAUUCUCCUCCCCCAUUUUUAAAAUUCACUCAUUUAUUUUCCUGUCUUGCUUCGCAAGCAGGGAGGCAGGGAGCUGGAUGACUAAGAUGGCAGACCUUUGCACAUGGAACUCUCUUCCCCUGCCCUGCUUCCCCACCUCCCCUCCUGAUCCUCCUUGAGGUUUCAGAGUCAUCGUCACUUCCUUAAUCUCCCAGACAGGCUCAAAUCCNNNNNNNNNNNNNNNNNNNNNNNNNNNNNNNNNNNNNNNNNNNNNNNNNNNNNNNNNNNNNNNNNNNNNNNNCUAUUUGUCAUCUGACUUCAUUAGGGCAGAGGACCUGUCUAUUUUUGCUCUCACUGGACUGCAGUGUCUAGCCCAGUGCCCGCUCUUGUGUUGAAUGAAUACUGUGAGGCUGCUUGGACACCUGAUGCAGGGCACCCUCCCCUGUCUGCCUCUGUCAAGGUCCUUUGUCCUGGCAAUUAGUGGACACAGAAGUGACAGCCCCAGGACUCUUUCUCUAGCAACUGUGGGCCCAGGUGGAUUAUGAAAUCACCUGGAAAAGACAGAGGCAAACCUAAUCCCUGUCUUGGCAAAAGUUAUCCUUGGUGGUCAAGAGCGAUUUCUCAGGUUGGUCUCAACUGCUGCAUUUCAACCCAGGAUGUUGAAAAGGCAUGCUGUCUGACAUUUACCCUUCAGAGUAACUGAUUUUAGGUUUCUCUCUAGGCCUUCCAGACUUCCCUGGUGGCUUCCAGGCCCCACCUACCAAUGUGGGAGAUGUGGGCUUGAUCUCCGGGUUGGAAAGAUCCCCAGGAGAAGGAAAUGGCAACCCACUCCAGUAUCCUUGCCUGAAAAAUACCAUGGACAGAGGAGCUUGGUGAUCAACAGUCCAUGGGGUCAAGAAAGGGUUGGAUACAACUUAGUGACUAUUUAACAAGAGCCAGGCUUUCCAGGCCUCUCUAGGUGGGAAAGCUGUAGGGGCCUAGCAUAGACUUCCUGAAGUACUCACCAGACUCCUGGGAGGAGCACAGGGCAAGUUUGUAAGUGCAGACGCCUGGAUCUAAGAUGGGUAAUGCCUUAUGAUGCCUACAUAUCCCUAGGCCAAGGGGAAAUGGGCCGUGGGAGAGAAUUCCAAAGUGUUCUCUAGAACUGGUCUGCACAGCACACCCCAGGCUGGCUCCUUAACCCUAGUUAACCAACGCAAGUUAACUUUAGAAACCAGAAGCUCCUGACUUUCUCACCAGCUAUGAGCUAGGGGGACCAGGUAACAGAAUUCUGAGGACAGGAAAUUAGGGGUGAAUGGAUCAAGAAGAGGAGGUGCACAUGUACACCAUGGAAUGCUACUCAGUCAUGGGAAAGAAUGAAAUAAUGGGAAGAACCACCGGAUGAAUGGCCCUCAUACUGGGAUGGGGGCCCCGGGUCCCCGCGGGGCUCCAGAUCUCGCAGACUCGCCCCCCCAGCGAGCAACGCUCCUGGCUGUUUGCGCGCAAGGAGGGGCGUGGGGCUCCCUCGGCCCCAGGUGCCCCGAACCCCUCGGCGGCGAAAUGGAGCCGCAAGCAGGGCGGCACCCAUGAGGACUGCGGGGCGGGGGAGAACGCGGACUGUGAUUCCUGGGUCCGAGAUAAAGUGCUCUUUCUUUUGCACCCAGAGAGGUGGUUGGGGACUCAGGGGGACGCCGAGCGGGAAGAGGUGGCCGAUGAGGAGGACCUUUUCAAAGCGCAAGGACAAGACCGGGAACCCAA